rnacentral:rRNA from 1 species
UCCUACGGGAGGCAGCAGUAGGGAAUAUUGGUCAAUGGAUGGAAGUCUGAACCAGCCAUGCCGCGUGCAGGAAGAAGGCCUUCUGGGUUGUAAACUGCUUUUGCCAGGGGCUAAAAAGCUCAUGCGUGAGAAAUUGAAAGUACCUGGUGAAUAAGCCACGGCUAACUACGUGCCAGCAGCCGCGGUAAUACGUAGGUGGCAAGCGUUGUCCGGAUUUAUUGGGUUUAAAGGGUGCGUAGGCGGCUUUGUAAGUCAGUGGUGAAAUAUGGCAGCUUAACUGUCAGGGUGCCAUUGAUACUGCGGAGCUUGAGUACAGAUGAGGUAGGCGGAAUUGACGGUGUAGCGGUGAAAUGCUUAGAUAUCGUCAAGAACACCGAUAGCGAAGGCAGCUUACUAGGCUGUAACUGACGCUGAGGCACGAAAGUGUGGGGAUCAAACAGGAUUAGAUACCCUGGUAGUCCACACUGUAAACGUUGAUGACUCGCUGUUGGCGAUACACGGCCAGCGGCAGAGAGAAAUCGUUAAGUCAUCCACCUGGGGAGUACGCCGGCAACGGUGAAACUCAAAGGAAUUGACGG